rnacentral:rRNA from 1 species
GACAGAGGGUGCAAACGUUGCUCGGAAUUACUGGGCGUAAAGCGCGUGUAGGCGGACUGGUGUGUCGGAUGUGAAAUCCCCAGGCUCAACCUGGGAACUGCAUUCGAAACUGCCAGCCUUGAGUGGUGGAGAGGGAAGUGGAAUUCCUGGUGUAGAGGUGAAAUUCGUAGAUAUCAGGAGGAACACCGGUGGCGAAGGCGGCGACCUGGGUUGACAUUGACGCUGAGGCGCGAAAGCGUGGGGAGCAAACAGG